rnacentral:rRNA from 1 species
CUACAGGCUUAACACAUGCAAGUCGAGGGGCAGCAUGGUCUUAGCUUGCUAAGGCCGAUGGCGACCGGCGCACGGGUGAGUAACACGUAUCCAACCUGCCGUCUACUCUUGGACAGCCUUCUGAAAGGAAGAUUAAUACAAGAUGGCAUCAUGAGUCCGCAUGUUCACAUGAUUAAAGGUAUUCCGGUAGACGAUGGGGAUGCGUUCCAUUAGAUAGUAGGCGGGGUAACGGCCCACCUAGUCUUCGAUGGGUAGGGGUUCUGAGAGGAAGGUCCCCCACAUUGGAACUGAGACACGGUCCAAACUCCUACGGGAGGCAGCAGUGAGGAAUAUUGGUCAAUGGGCGAGAGCCUGAACCAGCCAAGUAGCGUGAAGGAUGACUGCCCUAUGGGUUGUAAACUUCUUUUAUAAAGGAAUAAAGUCGGGUAUGGAUACCCGUUUGCAUGUACUUUAUGAAUAAGGAUCGGCUAACUCCGUGCCAGCAGCCGCGGUAAUACGGAGGAUCCGAGCGUUAUCCGGAUUUAUUGGGUUUAAAGGGAGCGUAGAUGGAUGUUUAAGUCAGUUGUGAAAGUUUGCGGCUCAACCGUAAAAUUGCAGUUGAUACUGGAUAUCUUGAGUGCAGUUGAGGCAGGCGGAAUUCGUGGUGUAGCGGUGAAAUGCUUAGAUAUCACGAAGAACUCCGAUUGCGAAGGCAGCCUGCUAAGCUGCAACUGACAUUGAGGCUCGAAAGUGUGGGUAUCAAACAGGAUUAGAUACCCUGGUAGUCCACACGGUAAACGAUGAAUACUCGCUGUUUGCGAUAUACAGCAAGCGGCCAAGCGAAAGCGUUAAGUAUUCCACCUGGGGAGUACGCCGGCAACGGUGAAACUCAAAGGAAUUGACGGGGGCCCGCACAAGCGGAGGAACAUGUGGUUUAAUUCGAUGAUACGCGAGGAACCUUACCCGGGCUUAAAUUGCAGAUGAAUUACGGUGAAAGCCGUAAGCCGCAAGGCAUCUGUGAAGGUGCUGCAUGGUUGUCGUCAGCUCGUGCCGUGAGGUGUCGGCUUAAGUGCCAUAACGAGCGCAACCCUUGUUGUCAGUUACUAACAGGUUCUGCUGAGGACUCUGACAAGACUGCCAUCGUAAGAUGUGAGGAAGGUGGGGAUGACGUCAAAUCAGCACGGCCCUUACGUCCGGGGCUACACACGUGUUACAAUGGGGGGUACAGAGGGCCGCUACCACGCGAGUGGAUGCCAAUCCCCAAAACCUCUCUCAGUUCGGACUGGAGUCUGCAACCCGACUCCACGAAGCUGGAUUCGCUAGUAAUCGCGCAUCAGCCACGGCGCGGUGAAUACGUUCCCGGGCCUUGUACACACCGCCCGUCAAGCCAUGGGAGCCGGGGGUACCUGAAGUGCGUAACCGCGAGGAGCGCCCUAGGGUAAAACUGGUGACUGGGG